rnacentral:rRNA from 1 species
GACGAACGCUGGCGGCGUGCCUAAUACAUGCAAGUCGACCUUAGUGGCGGACGGGUGAGUAAUGCCUAGGAAUCUGCCUGGUAGUGGGGGAUAACGUCCGGAAACGGGCGCUAAUACCGCAUACUAUCAGAUGAGCCUAGGUCGGAUUAGCUAGUUGGUGGGGUAAAGGCCUACCAAGGCGACGAUCCGUAACUGGUCUGAGAGGAGGAUCAGUCACACUGGAACUGGGACACGGUCCAGACUCCUACGGGAGGCAGCCGGGGGGAAUCGUCCGCAAUGGACGAAAGUCUGACGGAGCAACGCCGCGUGAGUGAUGACGGCCUUCGGGUUGUAAAGCUCUGUUAAUCGGGACGCGGUACCGGAAUAGAAAGCCACGGCUAACUACGUGCCAGCAGCCGCGGUAAUAC